AUACGGAGGGUGCAAGCGUUGUUCGGAAUCACUGGGCGUAAAGGGCGCGCAGGCGGUUUGGUAAGUCAGAUGUGAAAGCCCACGGCUCAACCGUGGAAGUGCAUUUGAAACUGUCAGACUUGAGUACUAGAGGGGAAAGUGGAAUUCCCGGUGUAGAGGUGAAAUUCGUAGAUAGCGGGAGGAAUACCGGUGGCGAAGGCGACUUUCUGGCUAGAUACUGACGCUGAGGCGCGAAAGCGUGGGGAGCAAACAGAAUUAGAUACCCUAGUAGUCC
rnacentral:rRNA from 1 species